AAGGGUUCACUGAACAAUACACAUAACCGCCAGGUCCCGGAGUUUGAAUUCUAGUGCAUGGGCACUCGCAGCAUAUGUCCGUAUGCCACUGAAAAACAAAUAAAAAGCUACGCAGAUUCGCAUGGAUCACAGAGUGAACAGCUGUGGGAAUAGAAAUCAGCAACAUGAAUGAAAGGUGGAAGUCUGAGACAAGUAGCUUAUGGACAAGAUG